GUGCUCGCUUUGGCAGCACAUAUACUAAAAUCAGAACCAUACACAGAAGAUUAGCAUGGCCCCUGUGCAAGGAUGACAUGCAAAUUGGUGAAGCGUUCCAUAUUUUU